UUUUUUAAAAAUGUUUUAUUCCUUCUUCACAAUCUUUCAUUUCAGCAGCUUUGGUCGAGGAAAAGGAAAAAACAGUUUGGAUCUUGAAGAGGACACGAGAAAAACCCAAUGUGUCAUAUCAAAUUAAUAUUAUAACUGUUUUUUCCUCUGAACCAGAAGACAGGUGGCGCUAAAACAGCUCCCACUGUUGUACAUGGACUCAACCCGAGCGCUGAACGUUAAAUGAAAGCUGGAGAAUCAGACAAGUCAUCCGGUAUGUGAAGCACACGUGUUGACCACCAGGUGUCAGUGUGUCUGUGAAACAGUGGCGUCCAUCUGCAACCUCCCAGAAGUAAAAGCAAAAACAACGGGGGAAGGAUAGGGGGCGCCAAACCCUAAUCUCACCUGCAAAACAGCCGACUCAGUCUGUAACACACAGUGUUAGCAACAGCACCAAACAACAGUCAGCCUUGAUGAAACCCAGCUCUGACUGACUCGCUCUGCCCCUGGUGUCAGCUGACAGCACUGCAGGGUGAUUUGGCUUUCACAGGGACGGGCAGCAUUUACAUGUGGAAAGAAAACUGGUGGAACACAAAGGCAACGUGGCCCCGCCCACCCAGUGCUGUGGGCUCAGAGAGGACCUGCCUUUGAUAAACACACACUGCCAUCAACACGCAAACACACACACACACACACCCCAGCACAGCGUGAUUCAGGAUGACGCCUUGUCAGGUGACGCAGUCGACGUGAGGCCGAGGAGCAAAUAUUGACUCCUGCUGGAUGUUCUGUGGACGUGUUGACUCUUAUAAUGACUGGAUGACAGAAACAAUAGAUGAUGCGGUGCUUUUUCUCACACUACAGCAGAGGUCUUCAAGAGAGGGUUCCGUGACCCCCAGAGGGCCAGAGUAGGCCGUGCACAGGGGUCAUGACUGUUUUUGUUGAUUAGACAGUUUUUUGUUUCGUUUUAAUAUUUUGCACGUGUUUAAAAUCAUCAAUGUGCAAAGCUGUGUAUUUUAAAUAGCUUGGUGUAAACUUUAGCUCCAUCUGUCACUCCUCAUACUCCAUACAAUCCUCAAGUACUUAUCAGCCACACCAGACUUUUUCAUACCACACCGUCGUUUUCAUUCCAUCCUAAAAAUGUCGCAACAUAGGCUAGGCAAGUUUUUACUAAAGUAACAUAAAAAUGUGGGAUAUCAGAAACUUGCAUCUUCUGAGGUGACGUCCUUGUAGCUCGUUAUUCAGCAGCUGUGGUCUCAUUGGCUAGUGAGAUUCCUGCCGCCAGGUGUGAUUAAUGAUGAUUUAUUUUGGACGGCUGAAAUCACACAGUUUGCAGUAACCUUUGACCAUGGGCGUGACAAUGUUCUAGAACCUUCUUCAGAAGUAACAUGGAGACAGUUUUGUACUGAUUUAUAUACAUUUAGCCUCUUUAAAGUACUGUACUGUCCGAGCCGCCGUCUGUCUGUCCGUCUGUCCGUCUGUCCGUCUGUCUGUCUGUUUGUCUGUUCUUUUUCCCAGAACAUGGAGUUGGUCCAGACACCAUGGUUGGUUGGUUUGGUCUGAGGGUGGAUGACCGUGGACCAGUGUGAGGGAGAGUAGUCAAUAUUCAACGACCUUGACCAGUGAAGCAGUUCUGACGGCUGUGACAGAGAAACUGUAACGACCACAUGGUCUGAUGGAAAACCAACGUCAACAGAAAGGAAUCACCGAGAAUCGAAAAAAAUGUUCUCAGAGUUAAUGGUGAAGUUCAGCUGCAGGAAUGAGGUCACGACCUUCAUCAGGGUUCACCAUCUUUGACAUGUGAGCAGUUUCUAAAUGAAGUCCGUUUUCGGGGGCCCUCCUCUAAGAUUUUACCCCAUCAGUCAAGUUUCUGCUUUGCCCUUGGUCUUGCUGCUGUUUCUACACCAUAAUGAAAACUGUCUGCCCAAAGCACCGAUAAAGAUUUUAUUGCCAUCCAUCACUGACGUGUGAGUACGUUUUAAGGAGUGUGUACGUAUGUGUUGUGUCGGAAUGACCUUUUUCUCUCCCCUGUGGUGUGUUACUCUGGGCUUUGGCAUUUCAUUGCCUGGGUAAAUAAUUAAUCACCAACUUUUGAAUAGGUUUGUCUGCAAGCAAAGGAGAGAGGGCAACCGAGGUAGAGGACACAGGAUCUCUUUGUGGGAGAAUAGUAGAAGACAAGUCACAAGGAGUUUGAGGGGAAAAAAAGAGUUUUACGCUUUCACUUUAACUUUCUGACCCCUGUAUACCCCUGAUUUACCUUUCAGUCAAAUCCCUGGGCAAAUUCAAACAAGAAUCAAAGUGGAGAGCACAAUACUGUAGGUAGAUGCAAAUCUCAUCUGAGAAACACACAUUGUAAACAGUGGCUGAAUUAUCGUCCUGCUGUGAAUGCAAUGUUUCACUUAUUAGUGACAUGCAAAUCGUGCAACAAGCACUGGCACUGUGGUGUCACCUCAGUAUGAGUCCUGUCGGCAAACUGUGACACUAUAGACGACUAUAGACUUUAGUCCACAGUAUUCUUAUAAUCAAGAGCAACACUGGGUUUUUCACCCCUGGCUUCUGUCACUUGUACUGCAAAUUACAGCUGAUGAGUUUUUAAUCUCUCGGAUCUUUUGAUCUGAUUUUGAUUUUGAACUGGAUC